AUCUAGAGAUCCCUGCCUACCUGAGGACCUUGCAGGCCUUCCAAAGGGAAGUGGGUGACAAGCACACACAGCUCACAGCUAAACUACUGCAAUCAAGUGGAUCAGAAACAGAAUUGGAGCUAUUUUAUCUGGACCUAAUUAAACAACCUUCAUUACUGGCAGGGAUUUAUUAAUUGUGGAUUGACGAGGAAUAGAGAUUGGUGUAGACAGGUGUUCACCCACAGCAUCAUCCCCCUUAGUGGACUGAUGACAAGUGAAUGCCUGUAACAGGAGGCAUGAUAUCAUGGUGAAAUUCUAAGGAGACACUCACUAAAUCUUCUGGGAUAGAAGGAAGAAAUGAAGUCCUAGAUACGGUUGUACGCAGUGCUGGUAAAACAACAAAUCCUGUUGGUGUUCUCCUAGAAGAUAACUGAGAUGCAAAGUACUUACAGCAUUGUAUUCACACUGGUGCCUGCCAAGGUGACCUGGAGCAGCCCCCAGGAGGAUCCUGUUAUGUGUUCAAUACCUGAUGUAUUACUUCAGCAGCAAAUUCAACAAGGCCAAGAUGUCUUCAUUUUCCUCCAGAGCAAGAGCUGUAUGAGCAGUGUGAUGGAAGUAUUGGUCUUCUGUGGCCAGCCGGCGAGAACCCAUCAACAGCUGUGAUGAGCAGAGCAGACACGGAGAGACAGGAGGCAGCUGAAGCCAAAGAGGACCCACGCCUGAAGCUGUGUGUGUGUGAUUGGAGCAGAGAGAGGCCAGGACCCAAGGAAAUCCCAGCAGCAAGGGAAAAAAACAGAUUGACUCUCAGUGACUCAUUUAGCUCCUGGAUUGGACAGAUCUCUCCCCUGCUGGCAAUUUGGCUGAGCAUCAAUGGACAGAUACCAGGAUGAAUAGCUUAAAAUAAUUAGGGGUUGGGAAUAUGCAAAACUGCUAGCCAUCCAAUUCUUUACUCUGCAAUGUGAGGCACAAAAAAGAAAUUACAUUUAGGUUAUUAAAUAUUAAGUCAGUGGAUUUGCCUCCAUUUGGUCCAGAACAGGAAACUGGAUAAAAUUCAACAUUUAUUUCAUUGUGUUGAUGGCCUGUUUAUCACUGAGCGGAAGAGAACAGAGGAAUUUGACAAAUGAUGGCAAUUGAGACUUCAUGAUUUAAGAACAGCAUCUCAAGCAGUUGCUCUGAAGUGGUUCUCCAUGUGAAAUGAGGAUGCCGCAUGCUUAUCAGUGGUGAUACAGGUAUAUGGCUACAGAUGCCUUGCCCCUCAAAAGCUUCGUGUUUGCCAGAGUCAGGGAUGAAGAACACCAGGUAUUUCCAGGGAUACUGGAGUGGCACAUGUUCCAGAAAGUUUGAAGUAAAGUGUCUGCUUUCACUGCUCAGGUUCAAGCCCAUUAAAGGAUUUGAGGAAAUCCAUUCAGUACUUUGCACAGAGAACAAAUGUGAACCGUUCCAAUGAGUUGCAGGCUCUGGAGCAGAUCAGUAUGAGGAAUGGUUGCAGGAGCGAAGCAAACUCCAGGAGAGGGACCUGCAUGUACCAUGCAGCAGAAGCUCCCACAGACACCAGUUUCCCCAGCAUGGGCCAGACUGUUGACUUAACUCUGCUGAUCUCCCCUCCCUAGUACUCUCCUCCAGCCCUCAACAGCACUUCAGUGGUGUCAACAGCCUUCAGUAGCCUCCAAAAGACCUGCAGCAAAAGAGAGAACAGUGAGGAAGAAGAGCCUGCAGAGGUAACUAAGAGUUAACUGGCUACAUUUCAGCUGUCACCAUUGUCUUACAUCUACAGAGAGAGUGGGGAGAGCCAAGGAGAUGUAUUUACGUGUCAGAUGCGGCAUCGUGCACUGAAAAGCUUGAUGUGUGAGCUGCUCCUAUGCACAGUCUUCCAAAAAGGAACAUUCUGUGUGGCCAGAGGUGAGCUGAGCCUUCUGCCAAGCUGGAAGUUGUUCAGCAGAGAGGGUCAGACCUUGAGGAGCUGCCCCAGUCUCGCUGCCACAAUGGAGAAUGGAGAUGGAGCACAUCCACAGGAGCGGCGGCUGGUCGGGCUCACAGGCAUGCUGGGGAAGGAGCAGCUCUGUGCUGCCCAGGGAGCGUCCCUCUGGAGGGGGCAGGCGGUGCGGCUGUGCGAUGUGCACGGAGCUGGUGGCACUCACUGGAUGAUCCCAGAAGACAAACAUUAUCGGCCCAGAUCAAACGCCUCCCACGAGAAGUCCAGCCUUCUUUGUUAGAGAAGUAAGUGGCAAUCUUCCCCUUUCGAUUCUUCUUUUCUUUUUCCUUUUUCUUUUGGUUUCUCUUGUAAAUGCAGAGGCCAGAAGGCCAUGCUUAAAGAAUUCAUUUACAAAUCUGCAAUAUUGUUUUGAACGAUAGCGAUUAAACAGAAAAUAGAAAAAUCGGUUCAGGAUCCUGUUUGGAUGUAAUUAAAGGUAUAAUCUGUUCCAUUCGAAUACUUCAAUGCUUACCCUUCUUAAAAAAAAGACAAAUAAGAAUAGUAGCUCAUUUGCAGGGUUGUUUUUUUUUCCAACCCAUGUAAAAAGACUAACUGAUGAAGCAAGAAUAAUAAUUUUUAAAUGUGGCAUAAGCACAAAAAUAUCAACUGCAGCUUUCAAAUUAUUGCUGCAGAUCCCGAGCCUGAUGAGAGCUCAAUAACAAGGGGUCUGAGCUUUAUGGCAAAACACUGAAGUCUUCCACUAUUUCCUAUCAGCAUCUUGAUAUGGCUGAUAUAAUUACCUAUCAAAUACAUCAGUGGAAUGAAUAUCAGAGGAUAUAAAAAAAUACGUAAGUCGGAUGCAUAUCAGCUCAUUCUUUUAGGGGCUGUUUGAUCUCAAGGUUUUUUGUAGGAAUAAAAGACCAAUAUGGCAUUCAUUGCCCUUUGUUUUCUAUAAGCAGUGAUGAUUUUACAGCACAAUAAAAUUAGACUAUUACUGGCUGGCUGAUGAGUUCUAGCUGGAUCUUUUCCCUCCUACUGGACAUUUCUUCACCGCUUCUCAAAGAAACUGAAGUCAAGGGUAAACUUAAUAUCAGCCCUGUUCAUUUAUUCUUCUGUAAGCAAUCAAGAUUUCCAAAAAUCACAGGACAAUCUCUUGCCUUUUGAGAAUGAAUAUAGGCUCUGUUCUCUCCAUUUAGUUUAACAAAACAACUGGCAGAAGUUCAGUGGAACUGAUGAUUGUUCCGAGAGGUUACGGCGAACCACUGACGUUGUUAGCAAAAGGCUCGCAUGUAAGAUUCCCUAAGAGGAAAAGUGCAUGGAUACUUCAAAAUGUAAUUAACAGUGAAUUCCAACAACGUGAAAAAGAAGCAGUGGCUGUACCAGCUGCAGAGGAACCUGGCUGCAUGACAUGGGCACCUUGGUGGCCACGGCUCCCUUAAAAGCAGCAAGGGACAGGGCCAGCGGUGGUGGUGAUGUGAGGAACGUCGGGUCUGACCCCAUCCAUGCAGGUUCUUCAUGUGUUGCUGCCUUUGCUAUUGAACAUAGUUAAAGAUAUAGAAGUGACCAAGCAUGCUACGAAGCAAAACACUUUCUGUUAUUUUCUUAACCAUUAAGAAAAGUCAGAAUUUCAAACUCAGUGUUUGUCAGCUGAGGCGUACUUCUAACAAGGCAGGCGGAAGACUUGUACUGAUAAAAUGACUGUCAAAACACAGGAGCAAAGGGUACAAAGCAGCACAGUGCUCUGGGAGACCUGUUUAACCGGUGAACAAGAGAGAAGCUCAAAGUUUUAAGGGUUACUAAAAUUCCUGGCCUUUUGGGUGUGUGUGCCUUGCCUCUGGAGCCCCUGCCCCCUUGCACAGCCUGUCCUGCAGUGCUGGAGAUCCCAAAGCAGCUUUCCUCCAGCCCACCCAGCCUGGCACAGCCUCGGCCUUCCCUUCACUACAGUUCUGCAGUUUGCUGCUUUUCACACAGUAGCAAUGAGAAGCUCCAUUUAAUAAAAUAACAAUAAAAAAAUGCGGCCCUCGUAGUGCCAGGCCCUGGCUCACCCUUCAGCAGAGGCCAGAGGCAAGCAGGGGCGGGGGAGCACCAUGUGACACCAAGACAGGCAAGGGCAAAACACAAAGCUAUGGCUCCCAAACCCAUCGAGCCGAACAGCCUCCCUGCACACCAAGAGCGUCUUUGUGGAUGUAACUAAAGGAAACACAACAACAGAACCCAGCUUGUUAAAAAAUACCCACAGAGGGGGAGAGAAAAAAUAAAAAUCCUCAACACAGCCUCGUCUGUCUCCAGCAAACAGGGCUUUUUUCAGGCCCUGGGCUCAGGCGUGGGCCCAAGCCCCUGCGGGUGGUGAGUUACUGGCUGACAGCCUUGCUGGCUGCACAGAGGCUGAAGCACGGUCCUCUCCCUGCCCUCAGCGCCAGCCGCCCCACAGCCCUCGUGCCUCCCUGCUGCCGCCCAGCUCAGCAGCCCCAUGGAUGGCACAGGGCUGUGUGACCAGGCCAGCCCCCCAAGGAACAUCUCUGAGACACCGGCAAAACAAGCAACGCUUAUCUCAUGCAUGCCACAGGUGUGAUGUCAUCCCCUCUGGCGAAGGAACGAGGAUGUCUACAGCCUCCACCGUGCAAAAAUGCAGGAACUGAAGUUAAUGUGCCUCAGACUUUGUUGAAAUAUGGUGAUAAUUAAGAAAUAUAAUUACCACUAUGAAGUUAAUGCCUCUCUGAGUUCUUACAAACAACUUUUUAAUUUGCACUGAGCAUUCACUUUGCAGAUGCGCAGUCAGUCGGGUGUGGGGCCGGCAGUGCUGCAGUCCGUGCGCCACGGCCCACCUGGAGGGCAGGCGUGCAGAGGAGCCCUGUCAGAUACACGCUGCAUUCUAUUAAGAAAAAAAAAAAAAAAAAGGAAGAAACUUACGAGGUAAUUGAUUGCUUUCUUCUAGUCUUUUAUUAGUUGUUAUUAAGGAGCUACAGUAGCCCUGUUUACACAUCCCCAACAAGUCAGGACCUGCAGCACGUUAUUGGCUUGCGGCCCACAACGCGCAGUCCGUUCUCAGCAGCAGUGAUCUGAAGUGGAACACGUCCCCGCAGGAAGCGCGCAUCCCUGCUCACACGGGGCAGGAGCAGCAGUAACGCUGCAGGCCCAGGGCUCAGCCCCGACUUGCUGCUGCCCUGGGCACGCUCCACGAGCAGGACACGGGGCCCAGGCAGGGACACGGUGAGCCCCUCACAGACCGAACCGAGGGCUCCUCGCUGCUCAACAUGCAGGCAAAGCGCUGCCAACCUAAAAUGGCUGAUCAGUAAUACUUUAAUUGCAGUUUCAUAGAAACAAAUUGCAAUUUAAUUGCAAUGAGCUCUUCUGUGGCUUCGCUGGACUGACAACAGGCGUACACCUGGUACCGAAAAGCAACAACAAAGGCUCCCUGGUACUUUGUGUACCGCAGGCACAGGAAGUGAAACCGGUCCUGGAGCACAUCUCACACUGAAGAAACAGCACUUUGAAGGUAUUUGACAUAUGUGUCCCAAUCCCAAUUUCAACAACAGGGCUGUUCAGAACACAGGUCCUUGCACAAGGCCUGACACCUGAUACAGGCCAAAGCAUUUGGUAAAAAAAAAUUAAAUUAAAACGAUCUUUUGAAAUGCUCGGUAGCAACGCAUACUACAGCAGUACCCCAUUUCUUUUCUUUCCUUUAUUAUAUUUCUCCUAGAAUUAGAUGAUGCAAAUUUCAUCAGUGUUAACUAACAGGGAGAAAGGGAGACAAACUCAGUGUGGUUAAUAUUCUAAAGAUGUGACUUAAUUUCAUAGGCUUCAUUCUGGUAAGACAUUCUCAUUUUACAUUUCGUAAGAUACUGCAUAACCUGUUAAAAUAUUUAAAGAUAAAUCAUGUAGGACUGAAAAGACAGUAUCUUGUUGCAAACAGAAUUUGGUUUGGAAAGGCUUAAUGUCCCACUGCCUGCCAGGAUGCGUAAAUCUCAUAACUAGACAGCUGGAUAGGUAAAAACAUUAAACCCAUUUAGAGGGCAAUCUUUUUACAAAAUUGUUUCAUUAAUAAGAGUGACAAUUUAUAUGAUUGAGACGCUUAGAUGCAGUAUAGACAGAGGCUUUUAUCCAGGUUCACUGGGAUGAUUUCAGAUUAGUAAUAUUUCCUUUGAUUUUUUUAGCUGCAUUCAUUUUUGAAAGUGAGGGAAGCUCUUACUGAUUAUUUGUAUGACUUUUCAGCAGCACUAAAUGCAGGGGGUGUAUUUCAGGCUCAGCGUAGCAAAUGCAUGUGAUAAAAGGUGAACAAGUACACGUUUCCUUUUACAGAUCUCCUAAAAAAAUUGAUUUUUCACAUAAGGACAAAUCUAAGUGUUUCCAGUAGCCUUCCCCCCAUCGUCCCCAUUAGAGCCUGUUUUAUUGUCUGAAAUGCCUCUGGUUUCAAGAAAGCGUUUUACCUAAAGGAAGAAUACUACUUAAAUAUGUUCUAUUGUAUAUUCAUAGCUCCAUUAGUCCUCCUCCAAUUUAGCACAUCAAAGCAAAGGCUUCAUCACUUGCAUGUGGAUUAUGCUAACAUGAGUGACAUUUGUAAUCUUAUAGGUCUGCAACUUAAGAAAUGCUUUUAAAGUAAGCUAUUAAAAAGGUAGCUGCGCUUUACAAACGAGUCAUAUAAUAGUUUAUUUAAAGCCGUUAAUGAACUUCAACCUCUACAUCACUAAAUGCUAUACUACAUUACUUACUAGAAGUUAUUAGGUAUCUUCUUAGCACUUCUAGGUUACAUUGGACAACCGAAAAUCUGUACAUGUUAGAUUUAACCGCGGUACCUUGAGUGCUUAUACUGGAAUAAUAUAAAAGAUGCCUACAGACUCCCUAAUGCUCCAAUUCCACAUUCGUGUAAUUUCGAGUGUUUCUUCAAAGCCGUCCCAGCCACACGAUAUGCAGGACUCCUACCCAAGGACUGGAAUGCAGCAUCAAAAAGCUCAGAAACUUAUUUUAAAAAAUACGUAAGUGCAUUUAAUUAAAAAAGUCAUACAUAGCCUCAGUAGUUUUAUCACUUUAUACAAUAUGUAAGUAUUCUUUUAUCUUUACUGUCUGUUACUGUACGUUAUACCUUUUCCUUUUCUCUGCACCAGUCCUACUUUUGCCCAGGCAGUGAAGCGCUAAAGGAAGAAAUCCAACAGACCUCUGCACACCAGGCCAAGAAGCAGAAUCUGAAACAAAAUAUGUCUGCUACUGGUUGUUUAGACAGACAAAUCUACAAAUCCGCUUUUUAGGCAUCAGCGUCACAACAAACAAGCAAGAAUCUCAAUGGAAACUGAAGAUCAUUUUGAAGCAGCGCCUCCCUGUAUCCACGCCAAAAUUAACGCGGCAGUUUAACAGGUUCUUCACUGGCACAGGACAAAACAAAAAGAGAACCCACCAAAAACCUCCAAACCAAAACCUUAUUUUUAAAGGAAGCUGACAAUUAAGGUAACGACUUUGUUUCUGAGUGGUAUUUUGAGUGUAGUUUUGUUGUUUCUUUCUUUCUUUCUUUCUUUUUAAGAAAAAACAGCAACAUUUCUAAAACCCAUACUCAAUGCAGUGGUUUUUGUUUUACUUUUUAUUAUUUAAAUACACCAUACUAGAGCAAAUGUCUCUGAAAAUAUCACAAAUAAAAGAUUUUUCUUCAUUCAGCAAAUUAGAAGUAGGUGAAAAUUUCUACACAGUAGCUGCUAUGAGCCUGACUUUUUUUUUUUCCUUUUUCUCCUUUUUUUUUUUUUUGCCAUGGGAAGUAGCAACAUUAGGACAAAAACACUUACAUGCAUACAUACAUUGUAUUUUACAGAGAUACAAUAAAAGUAUUUGUGAUAGAAUAUCA